rnacentral:rRNA from 1 species
AGGACGAACGCUGGCGGCGUGCUUAACACAUGCAAGUCGAGCGGAAAGGCCCUUCGGGGUACUCGAGCGGCGAACGGGUGAGUAACACGUGAGCAACCUGCCCCUGGCUCUGGGAUAGCCUUCGGAAACGGGGAUUAAUACCGGAUAUUCACUGCUUCCUGCAUGGGGGGUGGUGGAAAGUUUUUCGGCUGGGGUGGGCUCGCGGCCUAUCAGCUUGUUGGGGGGUGACGGCCCACCAAGGCGACGACGGGUAGCCGGCCUGAGAGGGGCGACCGGCCACGACUGGGACUGAGACACGGCCCAGACUCCUACGGGAGGCAGCAGUGGGGAAUAUUGCGCAAUGGGCGGAAGCCUGACGCAGCGACGCCGCGUGCGGGAUGAAGGCCUUCGGGUUGUAAACCGCUUUCACCAGGGACGAAGCGAGAGUGACGGUACCUGGGGAAGAAGCGCCGGCUAACUACGUGCCAGCAGCCGC